rnacentral:rRNA from 1 species
GACGUAGGGUGCAAGCGUUGUCCGGAAUUAUUGGGCGUAAAGAGCUCGUAGGCGGUCUGUCACGUCGGCUGUGAAAACCCGGGGCUCAACCCCGGGCCUGCAGUCGAUACGGGCAGACUAGAGUGCGGUAGGGGAGACUGGAAUUCCUGGUGUAGCGGUGAAAUGCGCAGAUAUCGGGAGGAACACCGGUGGCGAAGGCGGUUCUCUGGGCCUUACCUGACGCUGAGGAGCGAAAGCGUGGGGAGCGAACAGG